GACCUGGGGACAGGGAGGGGCGGCCCUGGACACGUUCUGCCAGCCCCUGCAGGCCAACCCGCUGGCCGCGCCAUGGGUCUGCCUGCGCCGGAGGCGGGGAGGUGGGGAGCUCUGGGCGGUGGGAGGCCCCUACUCACUGCCUUUGCGGCGGCGAUAGAGGAAGAACGCCAAGGCAAUGAAGGAGAAGGUCAGCAGGAUGCCCGCUCCGAUGGUGGCCCCGGCGAUGAUGCCCACGGGUAGCACCUCUUCAGAGGGAAAGACAGGCGAGGGUGAGGCUGGCAGCUCGCGGGGACCCGAGGCCAGGCACCACGAACUCCGCCCACAUCCAGGGACGGGGACGGCACACUGUCUGCUUCAAGCCCGGGAGUUUGAGAGGAAGGUCUGCGUUGUGUCCGGGUUCAGGCCCGAGCUCCGGCUUGGUGAGUUGGGGGCACAGCCAUGUGUCAUCCCCGCAGUGUGGCACAACGUGACCCUGGCCCUGGCAGUCGGUCCGUCCCUGCCCUGCAGCCCGUGCGCCUGUGAGGUUUGGCCUCUGCUUCCUGGGCUGGGCUGCUCUUGAGGCCAGCUGUCUCCCGAUCUGUCACCGCCUCACCCCCCCCCCCCCAUUGUCAGGGUGGCAUGGGCACCUACCCUCCCAGGGCUCCCAUGGUUCUCCUUGGCUCCCCCGCUCCCCAGAGCUGAGGAUCCGGGGAGCCCCCCUCGGGCUUUGUCUCCCUGCCUGGGGGACCUGGAUGGAUCAGAUCUGCAGGGAGCUCUUCCCCUCCUCGAUGGGUGGGUCCCGCCUUCCUCUCGCUGCUCCGUUCUUCCCCACUGACCCCUUGCCGGCACCCUCAGCUGAGACACACCUGAUGGAAGGCCCAGCUUUUCCUCCUCAGACUUCAGAGCUUCCGGAAAAGUCAAAGGCAGUGCCUCCUUUGACAUGCAAAGUGUCUUAAGGGUGGAAGGAUUCUCGAAGAACUGGAUGAUGGCCGUGCCCGGCCCGAAGCUGUUCCAGGCCGUGCAGUUGUAGUGUGUCUGAAAGUCGGCCUCCAUGACGUUGUUGAUGGUGAGUGUGGACAGCACUCCGCUGCCCGAGUUGGUCCUCUCCACCGUGUAGCGCUCCAGCGUCCCCACCUCCAGGAAGUUCUCCUUCCAUGCCCAGGCCUGGGGUGGGGAGGGCAGGCGGUAAGAAGGAAGGGGCAGGCGGCAGAAACACCCGACCCGGGCUCCACGCACCCUCGCCCCAUGAGCCCUGUGCGUCCUUACGCCCAGCCCAGCUCUCGCCCUGCAACAAACACCAGUUCACCCUGUUGCCUGGAACCUUGGCCUGGAACCUCCAGCCUAGGAGGAAAGUGGCUCUGGACAUGAUGGAGAUGUAUGCCGGGAACAUUCGGACAUGCCCCGGGACGUUCUUUAAAGUGCAGAUUCUUGGGGCUUAACUCCUAACUAUGAAUCUCCAAGGGAGAGAUCCAGGAGUCUCUAUCUUCAUAACCAUCCCACGGACGCAGGGAUCAAUCCUCCCAGCUCUGCAAGGAAAGCCCCCGGGAGCAGAGCCGCCGGCUGCCCAGGCGGCCGUGGUAAUGAAGUGUCCCUGGGCAGCCCUGGAGUUAGCCAAAUGGUCAUUAAAUGUGAUGAGGGGUUUGACGGUUAA